rnacentral:rRNA from 1 species
GACGAACGCUGGCGGCGUGCUUAACACAUGCAAGUCGAACGGAAAGGCCCUGCUUGCAGGGUACUCGAGUGGCGAACGGGUGAGUAACACGUGGGUGAUCUGCCCUGCACUUCGGGAUAAGCCUGGGAAACUGGGUCUAAUACCGGAUAGGAGCCAUUUUUAGUGUGAUGGUUGGAAAGUUUUUUCGGUGUAGGAUGAGCUCGCGGCCUAUCAGCUUGUUGGCGGGGUAAUGGCCUACCAAGGCGGCGACGGGUAGCCGGCCUGAGAGGGUGGACGGCCACAUUGGGACUGAGAUACGGCCCAGACUCCUACGGGAGGCAGCAGUGGGGAAUAUUGCACAAUGGGCGCAAGCCUGAUGCAGCGACGCCGCGUGGGGGAGGACGGCCUUCGGGUUGUAAACUCCUUUCGCUAGGGACGAAGCUUUUUGUGACGGUACCUAGAUAAGAAGCACCGGCUAACUACGUG